UAAACAAAUCUAUUGAAUGAUAAAAUUGACUUCCUAUCGACAUUAUCUGAAUGAAUUCGACUUGUUUGUCCGGCUGGUACAAUAUGUUGUGUAUAUUAGUAAGAUUUUUUGUUCGAUCGGUUGUACAUUGUAAUUAUAAUCGGCAAAUUUAUUAAAACAAUUAACUUAAUGUCGGAUACAGAAUGUGGUGAUUGUUCAUGUUUCGAUUGUGGAGAUUGCGGUAAUACGGAUAAUGAUGAAGUUGUGGAUUGUUGCGUUGAAUGUUGCUUUUGCACAAUGUGCCCGGAUACGACUUCAAGAAAAGAUAGAAAUGAGGAAAAACUGUUGCGCUUGGGUUACAGCAACUCUAAUGACAAUUAUUGUAAUCAUUAUUAUCGUAGUUGUCACCGUAACCCACUCGUAGUCCCGUUGAGUUGAUCUAACUAUUUGCAAAGGAACACAUUUUUUAUAUCUUUAUUUUUAAUCUGAUGUAAAAUUAUUUUUAAUUAUUUUAAAUCUUAUUCUAAUUUUAAUUGUUCAACUUUAACUACAAAUAAGACAAAAAUGUAUUUUAUAAUCUUUUUAAAGAUGGUAGAUUGGACUUUCUGAUUCCAUAACAGAUUUUACUCAAAAACUCAAAAAUGUGAUGUGAUGUAGAAAUUCUAAGGCCAGAUUCGGAUUCAGCAUAGAUCAAAGGUUUCAACCUGUAUGCAUGUAUAAUUCUUAUAUGAAAAUUGUCAGUAUAACAAUAACCAUACUUUGGGACAAUGAGUGGGGAAUAAUCUUCAUUGAUAUGAAGAAAUGCUCGAUAUUUUUGGAGACAUUUUCCUUAAAAAUAAUCUAUUGAAUUUAAUACAUAUAUUGUAAAUAAAAAUCUCUUUUUCUAUAAAA